CUCGCAGUGAGAAAGAGACCAUAGUGCCGAAGCAGAAAGCCAUGCGUUCCCUGGCGCAAGACUUCUCCACAGACACCUGUAUGGAGAGAGUAGUUAAGUUGUUUCAGACACCUGUUUCAUACAUGUACACAUACAUGUACAUAUUUGGGUUCAAACAUUAUGAUUACUAUAUACUACAAUACAGGCAAGAAGUCCCAGUUCAUUACAAAUGAGGCACACAAAAAAGUCUGUAAAGCUAUUAUAUGGGGA